GGGGGAGUGAGCAGGGAGGCAUGAGGGCUCUGAAGCCUCAGGGCCAGGCCCACCUUGCUGUCCAGGGCCCUGGGGACUGGCUUCACCUGGAGCUAUGAGCUAAUGAAGCAAAAGCCACGGGAGGGCGGGGUCAGGAAGUGGCUGCGCAAGCAGGCGCCAAGGCAAACAGCAGCAUCGGUGCAGAGAGGCGGCCCUCCUUCUUCCUGGGCCACCGGCCAGGGCCUAGCGAGGCUCCCAGCUGGGCCAACAGCACUUGAGACCUGAAUGCCUGGGAAGGUGGAGGCAGCUGACCGUCUCCCGAAAGUACUGAGGUCUCAGGGUCCUAAGACCCCCAGCCACCCCAGCCUCUCAACAUGAUCCCCACCAGAUGCUCAGCCAAC